rfam:Microgenomates (Woesebacteria) bacterium GW2011_GWC2_31_9 TR21_C0001, whole genome shotgun sequence.
AGGGCUGUAGGUCAAUGGUAGACCGGGAGACUCCAAAUCUUCUAAUGGGGGUCCGAUUCCCUCCAGCCCUG